AGUGAUACAUUGAGACGAAUCGAGUUCGGAAAGAUGAUACAAAUUGUAACAUUAGCUUCGCAGGAGCUUCAGAUGGAAAGUGCAUCUCUCCUUCUGUUUGCUGCUGACCAACAGGAAAUGUGAUGUUCCACCAAAGAAAAUCAAAACGAAUGAGAUUCUGUUUAAUAUGGUUGUAGAAGUACCUCGUUGGUCAAAUGCC